rnacentral:rRNA from 1 species
UACAGAGGUGGCAAGCGUUGUUCGGAAUUACUGGGCGUAAAGGGCGCGUAGGCGGCCUACUAAGUCAGACGUGAAAUCCCCAGGCUUAACUUGGGAACUGCGUCUGAUACUGGGAGGCUUGAGUGCGGGAGAGGGAUGUGGAAUUCCAGGUGUAGCGGUGAAAUGCGCAGAUAUCAGGAGGAACACCAAUGGCGAAGGCAGCUCGCUGGGACGUGGCUGACGCUGAGACGCGAAAGCCAGGGGAGCAAACGGG